UUGGAGGGCAAGUCUGGUGCCAGCAGCCGCGGUAAUUCCAGCUCCAAUAGCGUAUAUUAAAGUUGUUGCAGUUAAAAAGCUCGUAGUUGAAUUUCGGGACCAAUUUGUUGGUCGUGCCUCGGUACGUACUGGUAUUAUUGGUUUCUCCCUUCUGAAGAACCUUGAUGUCAUUAAUUUGGUGUCUUGGGGAAUCAGGACCGUUACUUUGAAAAAAUUAGAGUGUUUAAAGCAGGC
rnacentral:rRNA from 1 species